rnacentral:rRNA from 1 species
CAGUAGCCACGGUAAUACGGAGGGGGCUAGCGUUGUUCGGAAUUACUGGGCGUAAAGCGCACGUAGGCGGCUUUGUAAGUUAGAGGUGAAAGCCUGGGGCUCAACUCCAGAAUUGCCUUUAAGACUGCAUCGCUUGAACGUCGGAGAGGUGAGUGGAAUUCCGAGUGUAGAGGUGAAAUUCGUAGAUAUUCGCAAGAACACCAGUGGCGAAGGCGGCUCACUGGCCCGGUACUGACGCUGAGGCGCGAAAGCGUGGGGAGCAAACAGGAUUAGAUACCCCAGUAGUCCCUGUCUCUUAUAC